GACGACGCUGGCGGCGUGCUUAACACAUGCAAGUCGAGCGGUAAGGCUCCUUCGGGAGUACACGAGCGGCGAACGGGUGAGUAACACGUGAGUAACCUGCCCCAAUCAUCGGGAUAACCAUUGGAAACGAUGGCUAAUACCGAAUACGACCACCGGAGGCAUCUUCUGGUGGUGGAAAGCUCCGGCGGAUUGGGAUGGACUCGCGGCCUAUCAGCUUGUUGGUGAGGUAAUGGCUCACCAAGGCAACGACAGGUAGCCGGCCUGAGAGGGUGACCGGCCACACUGGGACUGAGACACGGCCCAGACUCCUACGGGAGGCAGCAGUGGGGAAUAUUGGACAAUGGGCGCAAGCCUGAUCCAGCAACGCCGCGUGAGGGAUGACGGCCUUCGGGUUGUAAACCUCUUUCAGUAGGGACGAAGCGAAAGUGACGGUACCUACAGAAGAAGGACCGGCCAACUACGUG
rnacentral:rRNA from 1 species